rnacentral:rRNA from 1 species
UACGGAGGGAGCUAGCGUUGUUCGGAAUUACUGGGCGUAAAGAGUGUGUAGGCGGUGUUCUAAGUUUGGUGUGAAAUCUCCCGGCUCAACUGGGAGGGUGCGCCGAAAACUGGAAUGCUAGAGUAUGGGAGAGGUAAGCGGAAUUCCUGGUGUAGCGGUGAAAUGCGUAGAUAUCAGGAGGAACACCUGUGGUGUAGACAGCUUACUGGACCAUCACUGACGCUGAGACACGAAAGCGUGGGUAGCAAACAGG